rnacentral:rRNA from 1 species
CCUACGGGAGGCAGCAGUGAGGAAUAUUGGUCAAUGGACGAGAGUCUGAACCAGCCAAGUAGCGUGAAGGAUGACUGCCCUAUGGGUUGUAAACUUCUUUUAUAUGGGAAUAAAAUGUUCCACGUGUGGGAUUUUGUAUGUACCAUAUGAAUAAGGAUCGGCUAACUCCGUGCCAGCAGCCGCGGAAAUACGGAGGAUCCGAGCGUUAUCCGGAUUUAUGGGGGUUAAAGGUAGCGUAGAUGGAUUGUUAGGUAAGUUGUGAACGUUUGCGGCUCAACCGUAAAAUUGCAUUUAAAACUGGAAGUCUUGAGUACAGUAGAGGUGGGCGGAAUUCGUGGUGUAGCGGUGAAAUGCGUAGAUAUCACGAAGAACACCGAUUGCGAAGGCAGCUAACUGGACUGCAACUGACACUGAGGCUCGAAAGUGUGGGUAUCAAACAGGAUUAGAUACCCGGGUAGUC